rnacentral:rRNA from 1 species
UGGGGAAUAUUGGACAAUGGGCGCAAGCCUGAUCCAGCAAUGCCGCGUGUGUGAAGAAGGCCUUCGGGUUGUAAAGCACUUUUAUCAGGAGCGAAACGCUGUCGGCUAAUACCCGGCGGAACUGACGGUACCUGAGGAAUAAGCACCGGCUAACUUCGUGCCAGCAGCCGCGGUAAUACGAAGGGGUGCAAGCGUUAAUCGGAAUUACUGGGCGUAAAGCGUGCGUAGGCGGUUUCUUAAGUCUGCUGUGAAAUCCCCGGGCUCAACCUGGGAAUGGCAGUGGAUACUGGGAGGCUAGAGUGUGUCAGAGGGUGGUGGAAUUCCCGGUGUAGCGGUGAAAUGCGUAGAGAUCGGGAGGAACAUCAGUGGCGAAGGCGGCCACCUGGGACAACACUGACGCUGAGGCACGAAAGCGUGGGGAGCAAACAGGAUUAGGAUACCCUGGUAGUCCACGCCCUAAAACGAUGCGAACUGGAUGUUGGUCUCAACUCGGAGAUCAGUGUCGAAGCUAACGCGUUAAGUUCGCCGCCUGGGGAGUACGGUCGCAAGACUGAAACUCAAAGGAAUUGACGGGGUCAUAGCUGUUUCC